CACAUGUCAUUUAUUUGAAAGGGGCAAUUGUUCCACUACAAGAUGGACCUGCGUUGUAUUAGCUAGUAGGUGAGGUAAUGGCUCACCUAGGCGACGAUACAUAGCCGACCUGAGAGGGUGAUCGGCCACACUGGGACUGAGACACGGCCCAGACUCAUACGGGAGGCAGCAGUAGGGAAUCUUCGGCAAUGGGGGCAACCCUGACCGAGCAACGCCGCGUGAGUGAAGAAGGUUUUCGGAUCGUAAAGCUCUGUUGUAAGUCAAGAACGGGUGUGAGAGUGUUAAGUUCACACUGUGACGGUAGCUUACCAGAAAGGGACGGCUAACUACGUGCCAGCAGCCGCGGUAAUACGUAGGUCCCGAGCGUUGUCCGGAUUUAUUGGGCGUAAAGCGAGCGCAGGCGGUUUGAUAAGUCUGAAGUUAAAGGCUGUGGCUCAACCAUAGUUCGCUUUGGAAACUGUCAAACUUGAGUGCAGAAGGGGAGAGUGGAAUUCCAUGUGUAGCGGUGAAAUGCGUAGAUAUAUGGAGGAACACCGGUGGCGAAAGCGGCUCUCUGGUCUGUAACUGACGCUGAGGCUCGAAAGCGUGGGGAGCGAACAGGAUUAGAUACCCUGGUAGUCCACGCCGUAAACGAUGAGUGCUAGGUGUUGGAUCCUUUCCGGGAUUCAGUGCCGCAGC
rnacentral:rRNA from 1 species